AGAAAACUAUUCUUUCCACGAAGAUGCAAUAGUGAACACUGAGUAAAGAAGGUCAUUGCGAAGAAGUCCAUUCCUUCUGCGAAGAUACAAAAGUAAACACAGAAUAACGAAGGUCAUUGCGAGGCUGUUUGUCAAAACGACUUCAAGCGUUGAGUGGCACAUCGUGUCUAUAUCAGAAGAGAGGCUCAAAGCUUAAGAAAACUAUUCUUUCCACGAAGAUGCAGCAGUGAACACUGAGUAACGAAGGUCAUUGCGAAGCUGUUAGUAAAAACGAUUUCAAGCGUUGUGUGACAGACUGUGUCUAUAUCAGGAGAGAAGUUCAAAGCUAAAGGUAAGAAGAAUGCUUUAAACAAAU